AUUGAACGCUGGCGGCAGGCCUAACACAUGCAAGUCGAACGCGUGGCGCACGGGUGAGUAAUGUCUGGGAAACUGCCUUAUGGAGGGGUAUAACUACUGGAAACGGUCGCUAAUCCCGCAUACCAUCAGAUUUCCCCAGAUGGGAUUAGCUUGUUGGUGGGGUAACGGCUCACCAAGGCGACGAUCCCUAGCUGGUCUGAGAGGAUGACCAGCCACACUGGAACUGAGACACGGUCCAGACUCCUACGGGAGGCAGCAGUGGGGAAUAUUGCACAAUGGGCGCAAGCCUGAUGCAGCCAUGCCGCGUGUAUGAAGAAGGCCUUAGGGUUGUAAAGUACUUUCAGCGGGGAGGCGUUACCCGCAGAAGAAGCACCGGCUAACUCCGUGCCAGCAGCCGCGGUAAUUC
rnacentral:rRNA from 1 species